GGGGAUAUAGCUCAUCUGGUAGAGUGCUUGCCUUGAAUACAGAAGGGCCUGGGUUCGAUCCCCAGCACCA
rfam:Ictidomys tridecemlineatus contig068370, whole genome shotgun sequence.